rnacentral:rRNA from 1 species
UACGGAAGGGGGCUAGCGUUGCUCGGAAUCACUGGGCGUAAAGGGUGCGUAGGCGGGUUAUUAAGUCAGAGGUGAAAUCCUGGAGCUCAACUCCAGAACUGCCUUUGAUACUGAUAGUCUUGAGUAUGGGAGAGGUGAGUGGAACUGCGAGUGUAGAGGUGAAAUUCGUAGAUAUUCGCAAGAACGCCAGUGGCGAAGGCGGCUCACUGGCCCAUUACUGACGCUGAGGCACGAAAGCGUGGGGAGCAAACAGG